UACGUAGGAGACAAGCGUUGUCCGGAUUUACUGGGCGUAAAGAGCGCGCAGGCGGUCGAUCAAGUCGAGUGUGAAAGCCCCCGGCUCAACUGGGGAGGGUCAUUCGAUACUGAUCGACUCGAAGGCAGGAGAGGGUAGUGGAAUUCCCGGUGUAGUGGUGAAAUGCGUAGAUAUCGGGAGGAACACCAGUGGCGAAGGCGACUACCUGGCCUGUUCUUGACGCUGAGGCGCGAAAGCUAGGGGAGCAAACGGG
rnacentral:rRNA from 1 species